rnacentral:lncRNA from 1 species
CCUGAGGGAUUUGGAGUCCCCCCGGGCUCCCCUGUGGGGUUCCCUGAGGGCUUUGGGGUCUCUUCCCGGUUCCCUGAGGGAUUUGGGGUCCCCCCCCCCUCGUUCCCUCGAAGUUUUGGUCCCCCCACUUCCCUAUGGGGUUCCCUGGGGGCUUUGGGGACCCCCCAAGUCCCCUAUGGGGUUUCCUGGGGGCUCAGGGGUCUCCCCAUGGCUCCCUAUAGGGUUCCCUGAGGGAUUUGGGGCCCCCCCUGGUUCCCUGGGGGUUUUGGGGACCUCUCAGUCCCCUGUGGGGUUCCCUGAGGGCUUUGGGGUCCCUUCCCACUUCCCUGAGAGAUUUGGGGUUCCCCCCUCGUUCCCUCGAGGUUUUGGUCCCCCCCCACUUCCCUACGGGGUUCCCUGGGGGCUUUGGGGACCCCCCCCCAGUCCCCUAUGGGGUUCCCUGAGAGCUCAGGGGUCUCCCCAUGGUUCCCUAUGGGGUUCCCUGAGGGAUUUGGGGUCCCUUCCCACUUCUCUGAGGGAUUUGGGGUCCCCCGGGCUCCCCUUUGGGAUUCCCUGAGGGAUUUGGGAUCUCUUCCCACUUCCCUGAGAGAUUUGGGGUCCCCCCUCGUUCCCUCGAGGUUUUGGGGGCCCCCCCCCCACUUCCCUACGGGGUUCCCUGGGGGCUUUGGGGACCCCCCCAAGUCCCCUAUGGGGUUUCCUGGGGGUUCAGGGGUCUCCCCAUGGCUCCCUAUGGGGUUCCCUGAGGGAUUUGGGGUCCCCCCUGGGUCCUUGGGGGUUUUGGGGACCUCUCAGUCCCCUACGGGGUUCCCUAAAGGAUUUGGGGUCCCUCCAUGGUUCCCUAUGGGAUUUCCUGAGGGAUUUGGAGUCCCUUCCCACUUCCCUGAGGGAUUUGGGGUCCCCCGGGCUCCCCUGUGGGGUUCCCUGAGAGCUCUGGGGUCCCCACCACUUCCCUAUGGGGUUCCCUGAGGCAUUUGGGGUCCCCCCAUGGUUCCCUGUGGUGUCCCUGGGGACAUUGGGGUCCCUCCUGGUCCCCUCGGGGCUUUGGGGACCCCCCAGUCCCCUUUGGGGUCCCCUGAGGGCUUUGGGGUCUCUCCCCGCUUCCCUAUGGAAAUCCCUGAGGGAUUUGGGGUCCCCCCCUGGUUCCCUGGGGGUUUUGGGGACCCCUCAAUUCGCUGUGGGGUUCCCUGAAGGCUUUGGGGUCCCUCCAGUCCCCCCCCCCGGGUCCCCCAUGGCCUCCCCCCGGAUUUGGGCCGCUCCGCAGGUCCCC